AAAAAAGAAAGGGAAAAGAGGGAAAGAAAAGGAAAGCGGGGGCGGAGCUGUCGAGUAUAUCACUUCCCUGUGCGCACGCCUCCGUCCCGUCUCCUCUUCCCCUCACCCACGCCCGAAUCCCCCACCGCCCGCGGCGACGAGCCCCCGCGGCGGGAGGAGAGGAAAGCCGGCGCCUUUGCGCAUGGCGGAGGCGGGAAUCGGGGCGGCAGCGGCGGCGUCGGCGCUGCUGGACCUGCCGGAGCCGCUGCUGCUGCUCAUCCUCGCCUCCCUCCACGACCCGCGCUCGCGGCACCGGGCCUCCAUGGCCUGCCGCCGGCUGCUGGCGGCGGAGCGGGCGACGCGGGCCGCGAUGGCCCUGCGCGGGGACCCGAGGACGCCCGACUUCCUCCUGCUCCCGCCGGCCUUCUGCUUCCCGGCGCUGGAGCGGCUCGACCUCUCCCUCGCCUCGCCCUGGGGCCACCCGCUGCUCUCGUCCGCCUCGCGCGUCGCGGGGGCGCCGGCCUCCGCCUCCUCCAACCACCUCCCGCUCAGCCCGGAGGAGGCGGCAGAGCGGAACGCCUUCGUGGCGGCGCGCCUCGCCGCAUACUUCCCCGCCGUGGCCCGCCUCGCCGUCUACUGCCGCGACCCCUCCACGCUCGCCAGCCUCGCGCCCUGCUGGCGGGCCACGCUCCGCGCCGUCAAGCUCGUGCGCUGGCACCAGCGGCCCCUCGACCUCCCCGGCGGCGCGGAUCUCGAGCCGCUGCUCGGGUCCUGCCCCGCGCUCGCGGCCCUCGACCUCUCCGAGUUCUACUGCUGGACGGAGGACGUCCUGCCGGCGCUCGACGCGCACCCGGCCGCCGCCGCCAGGCUCACCGACCUCGACCUCGGCCUCGCCGGCGCCUCCAACGGCUUCCACGCCGCCGAGCUCGGGGCCAUCGCCGCCGCCUGCCCCGGCCUCAGACGCCUCGUCGCGCCCUGCGUCUUCAAUCCCCGCUACGUCGACCACGUCGGCGACGACGCGCUGCGCUCGCUCGCCGCCAGCUGCCCCCGGCUCACCGUCCUGCGCCUCAGCGAGCCCUUCGAGCCGGCGUCCACCAGCCAGCGGGAGGAGGCGGGCAUUACCGCCGCGGGGCUCGUCCCCUUCUUUGCCGCGCUCCCUGGGCUGGAGGACCUCACGCUGGACCUCCAGCACAAUGUGCUCGAGGCAGCACCGGCAAUGGAGGAGCUCGCGCGCAGGUGCCCGCGGAUCAAGGUCCUGACGCUGGGGUGCUUCCAGGGGCUCUGCAAGGCCGCCUGGUUGCAUCUCGACGGCGUCGCCGUGUGCGGCGGGCUGGAGUCGCUCUGCAUCAAGAAUUGCGAGGAUCUCACCGACGCCAGCCUUGGCGCGAUAGGCCGUGGCUGUGGGAGGCUUGCCAAGUUUGCCAUCCAAGGAUGUAACCUUGUCACGUCGGAUGGGAUUAGGAGGCUAGCUACGGCGCUUCGGCCUACAUUGAAGGAGGUCAGUGUGUUGCACUGCCGGUUUCUGCACACUGCAGCAUGCCUUGCUGCUCUGAACCCGAUCCGCGAUCGGAUCGAGAGCCUUGAGAUCAAUUGUGACUGGGAGGAGGUUGAGCAGCCCAGCUCCAGCUGCGUGGCCAACGGCACAACCGGAAGUGAUCAUGAGGAUGACGAGCCUAGCGAAAUGGCAUACCAAUCCGCGCCCAAGAAAUGCAGGUUCUCCUACUUGGAAAUGGACAAUUAUGAAAGCUGGGAGAUGCUCCGGUCACUCUCCCUUUGGUGCCCUGCUGGUCAACUACUCUCCCCGCUCAUUUCUGCCGGGCUCGAUAGCUGCCCUGUGCUUGAGAAGAUCUCAAUUAAGGUGGAGGGCGAUCUUCGGACGUGUCCGCGUCCAUUUCACGGGUCAGCUUUUGGCUUAAGCGACCUUGGAGCCUUCCAGGCACUGGCCAAGAUGAAGCUGGACCUCAGCGAGGCGGUGGGUUAUGCUCUCACCGCGCCAACGGGGCAUAUGGAUCUUUCACAGUGGGAGCGGUUUUAUUUGAGUGGCAUUGAAUCAUUGCUGAGUUUGUAUGAGCUGGACUACUGGCCGCCCCAAGAUAAGGAUGUGAACCACCGGAGCCUGUCACUGCCAGCGGUCGCACUUUUCCAGCACUCCAUCGGACUCAGGAAGCUCUUCAUCCAUGGCACCACACACGAGCACUUCAUGAGCUUCUUCCAGAAAAUGCCGAACUUAAGGGACGUGCAGCUAAGGGAGGACUACUAUCCAGCACCGGAGAACGAUAUGAUGAUCACAGAGAUGCGGGCUGAGUCUUGUCUCCGGUUCGAGCAGCAGCUGAACAACCGGCAAUUUCGGCAAAUUCCUGAUUGAUGCUGAAUUGGCAAUUUCGGCAAAUUCCUGAUUAGUGCUGAAUUGGGUGCACCAUUACAGUGAUUCAAGGUUGAAUACUUCAACACAGAGAGCCCUUUGCUCUUGUUUAGUCACCCAGAGUGCUACUCAUGUAUGAGUGGGUUGCUUGCGAUGAUCGGUGUAGUAACUGGAAUUGCUCAGUCCAUUGAUGAUAAGAGUAGAAGACAACGCCUGAUCAAGUGACAGUGGUAUCGAAUCUUUAUUUGCAUUCCUUUUUCUUUUUCUGGUGUAAUAAGAGAGAGACUCAGAGUUCACAUAUUUGCAGGAGGCAAGAUGAUAAGUUAGCAUUUGAGGGAAUUUUGUCAAGGGAAAAAGUUUUUUAUUUAUUUUCAAGCUGAGCUCAGUUGAACUGCGGCAAGAGAAAUUGGCAUUAUUAUUCUGGUAAAUUGUAAUGUUUGAGCUCUGUAAACAUUAGAAAAAUCGGCAGUCACUUGUUUGUCAUAUGCCCUUGUUCUGCAAGUGCCACAUUUCACUCUCAUUGUGAAGAUGGCCUAAAUUCCAAAAUUUGCUGCUUAAUUAUACGAAUGGUCAAACACAUGUGUACAUGAUUGGUUUGCUGCCCUUGUGUUUACUACUGUCACUGUGCCCUUGUGUUUACUACUGUCAAUUUCCUUUGCCUUUCUGCAUCAACAGGGUUGACCAUAAGUUCAAAUUGCAUGGCAAACAGGUUUUGCAAUCUGCUGCUGAGUACUGACAUGAGAUGAACUUGUAAUACCUGACACAAGAAAGUUCACCCGGCCAUUAAGAUUUCAGUCUGAUAUGACCACAGAAUGCCUAAAUUAACUUUCUUCCUUGUUGAUGCAGGCAUCAAAGAUCAAAGAAGCUUCUGCAAGGUCUAAGCAAAGCUGCCCAUCAUCCGAGCAGGCUCCCACAAUGUGCUUGUUAGCCCAAAGGCCCCCUAACUGAGGAGUGGUUCCGCAAAUCGCAGAAUGACAAGGAGGACAGGACGGGCAGGCGUGCCGCCGAACAAGAUCGGGCAUCGGAACAUAUUGCACAAGAUGUCGCGUGGGCGCGCGCCCUUCCAAGUUCGGAUCCCAGGUACAUAGCUGGAGGCGUCUCAGUGGAAGAGGAGGAUGCUGGUGCUGUAUAGAAUUCAAUGCAAAGCUGGCUGGCGGCGACGGAUUGUACGGAGACGGAGACGGGCAGCCAAGUCAGUCAAGCAUGCAUGCGCCUACCUGGCUCGCUCGGAAAAGCAGUGUAAAGGAAAAAAAAAGGGUAAAGCGCUUGCUUGCUUGCUGUAGGUGCUAGGCUUCCUUGGUUUUCUGGAUCCGAAUGAUGCUUUUUGGGAUGCUUCCAAACUUUGUUGGACCGCUCAUACUUCAUUUCGAUUCAAGGGCAAAACAUUUCCU
rnacentral:rRNA from 1 species